rnacentral:rRNA from 1 species
AGUGAACGCUGGCGGCGUGCCUAAUACAUGCAAGUCGAACGGAGUGGCGCGCGGGUGAGUAAUAUAUGUCUAAUCUGCCCUACACUAGAGGACAACAGUUGUAAACGGCUGCUAAUACUCUAUAAUGUAGGAUACGGCUAUAUUGUAUAAGCUAGUUGGUGAGGUAAUGGCUCACAAAGGCUAUGACGCAUAACUGGUCUGAGAGGAGGAUCAGUCACCCGGGAACUGAGACACGGUCCAGAUCCCUACGGGAGGCAGCAGUAGGGAAUAUUGCUCAAUGGGGGAAACCCUGAAGCAGCAACGCCGCGUGGAGGAUGACACUUUUCGGAUCGUAAAACUCUGUUGUUAGAGAAGCGUUAGUAACUGAACGUCCCCUGACGGUAUCUAACCAGAAAGCCACGGCUAACUACGUGCCAGCAGCCGCGGUAAUUC